GCUUACGGCCAUACCACCCUGAGCACGCCCGAUCUCGUCUGAUCUUGGAAGCUAAGCAGAGUCGGGCCUGGUUAGUACUUGGAUGGGAGACCGCCUGGGAAUACCAUGUGCUCUAAGCU
ensembl:rRNA 5S_rRNA 5S ribosomal RNA